GAUGAAGAACGUAGCGAAAUGCGAUAAGUAAUGUGAAUUGCAGAAUUCAGUGAAUCAUCGAAUCUUUGAACGCACCUUGCGCCCUUUGGCUAUUCUGAAGGGCAUGCCUGUUUGAGUAUCGUGAACACCUCAACUCUCAUGGUCUGCCAUGAUGAGCUUGGACUUUGGGGGUCUUGCUGGCCUACUGUCAGCUCCUCUCAAAUGAAUCAGCUUACCAGUGUUUGGUGGCACCACAGGUGUGAUAACUAUCUACGCUUGUGGUUUUCUGCCAGGUAACCACCAGUGAUGGAGGUUCGCUGGAGCUCACAAAUGUCUCUCCUCAGCGAGGACAGCUUUUUGAACGUUUGAUCUCAAAUCAGGUAGGACUACCCGCUGAACUUAAGCAUAUCAAUAAGCGGAGGA
rnacentral:misc_RNA from 1 species